GACGAACGCUGGCGGCGUGCUUAACACAUGCAAGUCGAACGGAAAGGCCUGCUUUCCCUUGUGGAUUGCGGGUACUCGAGUGGCGAACGGGUGAGUAACACGUGAGUGAUCUGCCCCCAACUUGGGUAUAAGCCUGGGAAACUGGGUCUAAUUCCCGAUAGGACUGCAGGGUGGUGCCUGUGGUGGAAAACGAUUUUCUAGUGGUUGGGGAUGAGCUCGCGGCCUAUCAGCUUGUUGGUGGGGUAAUGGCCUACCAAGGCGACGACGGGUAGCCGGCCUGAGAGGGUGGACGGCCACAUUGGGACUGAGAUACGGCCCAGACUCCUACGGGAGGCAGCAGUGGGGAAUAUUGCACAAUGGGCGGAAGCCUGAUGCAGCGACGCCGCGUGGGGGAUGACGGCCUUCGGGUUGUAAACUCCUUUCGACCGCGAGGAAGCCACCUGGUUGGAAGGGUGGUGACGGUAGUGGUAGAAGAAGCACCGGCUAACUACGUG
rnacentral:rRNA from 1 species